GAUGAACGCUGGCGGCGUGCCUAAUACAUGCCAGUCGAGCGAACAGACGAGGAGCUUGCUCCUCUGACGUUAGCGGCGGACGGGUGAGUAACACGUGGAUAACCUACCUAUAAGACUGGGAUAACUUCGGGAAACCGGAGCUAAUACCGGAUAAUAUAUUGAACCGCAUGGUUCAAUAGUGAAAGACGGUUUUGCUGUCACUUAUAGAUGGAUCCGCGCCGCAUUAGCUAGUUGGUAAGGUAACGGCUUACCAAGGCAACGAUGCGUAGCCGACCUGAGAGGGUGAUCGGCCACACUGGAACUGAGACACGGUCCAGACUCCUACGGGAGGCAGCUGUAGGGAAUCUUCCGCAAUGGGCGAAAGCCUGACGGAGCAACGCCGCGUGAGUGAUGAAGGUCUUCGGAUCGUAAAACUCUGUUAUUAGGGAAGAACAAAUGUGUAAGUAACUAUGCACGUCUUGACGGUACCUAAUCAGAAAGCCACGGCUAACUACGUG
rnacentral:rRNA from 1 species